UCUAUGGAGAGUUUGAUCCUGGCUCAGAGCGAACGUUAGCGGCGGGCUUAACACAUGCAAGUCGAGCGAGAAAGGGGCUUCGGCCCUGAGUAAAGCGGCGGACGGGUGAGUAACACGUAGGUAAUCUUCCUUCGAGCGGGGGACAACGAGCCGAAAGGCUCGCUAAUACCGCAUACGUUCCCAUGGACUCCGGUCUGUGGGAGGAAAGCUAGGUAGCAAUAUCCGGCACUCGAUGAGGAGCCUGCGUCGCAUCAGCUAGUUGGUGGGGUAACGGCCUACCAAGGCGAAGACGCGUAGCUGGUCUGAGAGGAUGAUCAGCCACACUGGGACUGAGACACGGCCCAGACUCCUACGGGAGGC
rnacentral:rRNA from 1 species